rnacentral:lncRNA from 1 species
GAGGCAAGCAAGGCUUGGCUUGGACUGGUCCCGGCCAGCACGCGGGGGGCGGCCGAUGAGGAGGACGAGGGUGCCAGGACAAGGAAACACCCUUGGCAAAGGUGGCACCUAGGCAGGCAGCUGAACCAAGGGAGAGGGAGAUCCUGCCUUCCUUCUGCUCCCAGGGGGAGGUCGCUGAAGAUGUUUUGCCUCCUUUUUAUGCUUGCUGUUAAAGGACGCUGGCUGUGAACAUCAAAUGCCAAGGAGCUAUUCAUAGAUGUAUGUACAGGAUGUAAAAGCAAACCAGUGGUACUUUUUUCCCCACCCUGAGAUUCCAUCCGUGACUGCUUUGCAGUAGUGGAGGGUCCAACCCAGCCUCCUCUGCUGCCUGUAUAUAUAUGAUGUUCACUGAAGCUCUGUCCCCACAGAUGUCUUGAGAAACGUGCUUGCUGUAAAUCAUAUUGUACCGCUGAAGUGACCGGGGCCAUCCCCUGCUUCCAUCCGCUGCCACCAUGCAAAGACCAGAGCUCCCACCAGCCCAGGGAACACUUUUCCUAGCACAGGACUGAUGUCCUGCAGCACCUCGCCUAUAGAGCAGCAAAUACUGCCAAAAGCCUCUCAUCUAAAACAAUACUGGGGAGCCAAAGAAUGAGACUUUUCCUGCCCCUGAAAGGGACUUGUUAGCAGUGUCUCCAUGCUUUGAAAAUGGAUCCCCUUAGAGCACAAUGAGUGCUCCUGGCUGAAGCAGCAUCCCAGCUCUGCUUCCCCAGGGUAAAAUUAACGACCCAGUGCUUUCACACCUCCUUCCGAAGCAUUGCAGAGGGGACAACACCUCCACCGGGGCUGGAUAACUCCCUUCCCUCCUGUGGGAGCUGUGCCUGUGACCAGCUGCAAACCAGCACAGCCAGAGGGCACAGCCCGAGCCCUUCCUGUGGUCCCAAGUGCAUGGCCCCCAGCUAUCCCAGCACCAUCACCUGCUUUGUAAAUGUAGAUGUUUGACAUGCGAGUUUUACAGCUAAAGAGUG